rnacentral:rRNA from 1 species
AUUGAACGCUGGCGGCAUGCCUUACACAUGCAAGUCGAACGGUAACGGGCCUUCGGGUGCCGACGAGUGGCGAACGGGUGAGUAAUGCAUCGGAACGUACCCAUCAGUGGGGGAUAACUCUCCGAAAGGAGGGCUAAUACCGCAUAUUCUGUGCGCAGGAAAGCGGGGGACCGCAAGGCCUCGCGCUGAUGGAGCGGCCGAUGUCAGAUUAGCUAGUUGGUGGGGUAAAGGCCUACCAAGGCGACGAUCUGUAGCGGGUCUGAGAGGAUGAUCCGCCACACUGGGACUGAGACACGGCCCAGACUCCUACGGGAGGCAGCAGUGGGGAAUUUUGGACAAUGGGGGCAACCCUGAUCCAGCCAUGCCGCGUGAGUGAAGAAGGCCUUCGGGUUGUAAAGCUCUUUCGGCCGGGAAGAAAUCGCAUCUCCUAAUACGGGGUGUGGAUGACGGUACCGGAAUAAGAAGCACCGGCUAACUACGUGCCAGCCGCCGCCGUA